rnacentral:rRNA from 1 species
GUACACGCUGUGACUAGCAUAUCAAUAAGCGGAGGAAAAGAAACUAACAAGGAUUCCCCUAGUAACGGCGAGUGAAGCGGGAAGAGCUCAAAUUUGAAAUCUUAAAGGGUUUCCCUUUACGAAUUGUAGUUUAAAGAAGUGUUUUCUGUUGAGGUUUUGGUAAAAGUUCUUUGGAAUAGGACAUCAUAGAGGGUGAGAAUCCCGUAUUUGACCUUUACUUUCAACUUUGUGAUACACUUUCGAAGAGUCGGAUUGUUUGGGAAUGCAGUCCAAAAUGGGUGGUAAAUUUCAUCUAAAGCUAAAUAUUGGCGAGAGACCGAUAGCGAACAAGUACCGUGAGGGAAAGAUGAAAAGAACUUUGAAAAGAGAGUUAAACAGUACGUGAAAUUGUCAAAAGGGAAGCGUUUGACACCAGUGUUGUUUUUCUGAAAAUCAAUUAAAGAACUGUUUAUGCUAAGUUGUUUAGACUUUAUCAGCUAACUGUUUAGUUUUGAGCUUUUCUUUAAUGCACUUUUCAGUUAACAAGUCAACAUCAAUUUCUUUUGCUGUAAAAAAGCUUGAGGAAGGUGGCUUGAGAUUCGUCUUAAGUGUUUAUAGCCUCUUGCCUAUGCAGUCGGAGAGAUUGAGGUCUGCAGCGUAGAUCCUUCGGGGCUAAAUGCAUUUGUGCUAAGUUAUAGCAUUUUAUAGACAACUUGUUGACUAUGAUUUGUCUUGUAGCUUACUCGCUUAUGUUAUUUUACCUACGCUUAGGAUGUUGAAGAUGUAGCACAUCAU